UCGAGAAUUUUUCUCAAUGGGGGAAACCCUGAAGGAGCGACGCCGCGUGGAGGAUGAAGGUCUUCGGAUUGUAAACUCCUGUCAUUAGGGAACAAUGUGCGGUUAUUAACUGUAAUCGUAUUGAUAGUACCUGAAGAGGAAGAGACGGCUAACUCUGUGCCAGCAGCCGCGGUAAUACAGAGGUCUCAAGCGUUGUUCGGAUUCAUUGGGCGUAAAGGGUGCGUAGGUGGCGCCAUAAGUCAGGUGUGAAAUCUCGGGGCUCAACCCCGAAACUGCACCUGAUACUGUGGUGCUCGAGUACUGGAGAGGAGAUUGGAAUUUACGGUGUAGCAGUGAAAUGCGUAGAUAUCGUAAGGAAGACCAGUGGCGAAGGCGAAUCUCUGGACAGUUACUGACACUGAGGCACGAAGGCCAGGGGAGCAAACG
rnacentral:rRNA from 1 species